rnacentral:rRNA from 1 species
CCUACGGGGGGCAGCAGUGAGGAAUAUUGGUCAAUGGGCGCGAGCCUGAACCAGCCAAGUCGCGUGAGGGAGGACGGCCCUACGGGUUGUAAACCUCUUUUGCCGGGGAGCAACGGGCGCCACGUGUGGCGCCACUGAGAGUACCCGGAGAAAAAGCAUCGGCUAACUCCGUGCCAGCAACCGCGGUAAUACAGAGGAUGCGUGCGUUAUCCGGAUUUAUUGGGUUUAAAGGGUGCGUAGGCGGAUCGUUAAGUCAGUGGUCAAAUUGAGGGGCUCAACCCCUUCCCGCCAUUGAAACUGGCGAUCUUGAGUGGAAGAGAAGUAUGCGGAAUGCGUGGUGUAGCGGUGAAAUGCAUAGAUAUCACGCAGAACCCCGAUUGCGAAGGCAGCAUGCCGGCUUCCGACUGACGCUGAAGCACGAAAGCGUGGGGAUCGAACAGGAUUAGAUACCCUGGUAGUC